GACGAACCGUGCGAACGUUAUUCGGAAUCACUGGGCUUAAAGGGCGCGUAGGCGGCUUUGCAAGUGACGGGUGAAAGCCCUCGGCUUAACCGAGGAACUGCCUGUCAGACUGUGAGGCUUGAGACCGGGAGAGGUGAGUGGAAUUCCCAGUGUAGCGGUGAAAUGCGUAGAUAUUGGGAGGAACACCAGUGGCGAAGGCGGCUCACUGGACCGGUACUGACGCUGAUGCGCGAAAGCGUGGGGGAGCAAACAGG
rnacentral:rRNA from 1 species